UCGGGUAUGGUGUAACGGCUAACAUUGCCGCCUCUCAUUCGUACGUGCGCGGCAGCUCGGGGUUCGAUUCCCCGUACCCGAA